CACGUAGGGGGCGAGCGUUGUCCGGAUUUAUUGGGCGUAAAGAGCUCGUAGGCGGCUCAGUAAGUCAGGUGUGAAAACUCCAGGCUCAACCUGGAGACGCCACCUGAUACUGCUGUGGCUAGAGUCCGGUAGGGGAGCAUGGAAUUCCUGGUGUAGCGGUGAAAUGCGCAGAUAUCAGGGAGGAACACCAGUGGCGGAAGGCGGUGCUCUGGGCCGGAACUGACGCUGGAGGAGCGAAAGCGUGGGGAGCAAACAGG
rnacentral:rRNA from 1 species